AUGAAAGGGAGGUAAAAAGAGUAGCGACCUGAGGAACAGACCUGGCAGAUUACAAAUAGAGAACAAGAAAGCCUGCAAAUAAAAAUGAAGAAGAGAGAAAAUUAGCUGAAAUCUGUCAGAAAAGAAACAGAAUUCUAACAUGAGAAACAGAAAAGAAGAAUGAAAGUAGAAGCGUGACAGAGGAAAAACGACAGCUAAGAUGACUGAAGGAAAACCAAUAUCCAAAAGUUCUUCUGUGCUUCGUUCCAUGCUAAUCAAACUGAAGGCUAACGAGAAGGUCCAUUCUUCUAGCCGACAAACAUCCAAAUUCUACACCUACACAAAUGACACAGAUCAGAAUGAAGGUGAAGAUACUGCAGCCUCACCCAAAUUGGAGUCAACUUUUGAAGAACAAAAUAAUUUGGACACCACGGCCAAGGCUGAUAGUGCUGAGAGCACUGACAGAAAUGCUGCCGAUGAAGAUUCAGAAACAUUUACUCUGGAAUCUCAACUCCACAAAUCUUCUCCAGUCAUCUAUUCCAGAGUGGAGAGAAGGAAACGUGCUUCUGACCUUCUGACAAAAGAGGUGGAAGAAGAUCCACCGUCCAAUAAGAGUCAACCUGAGUUGGAGAAAGUCACAGAGGAGUCACAGCUAAAGGAGGACAUCUCUGGAUCCUCUUCUCCCUUAAAUGAGUCCCAACCCAUCAAACGCCUUGCUUCCUUUAACAGGGAAAGAAAAACUGAGGACCCAGAACCAUCAAACAAGGACAUUCAUGCAUCUAAGCAAAGUUUGGGUACUAUCUCUAGCAAGGCUUUAGAAAAUCCAAACAGCAAGGAAACACGAUCUGCUUCUGAUCCAGUAAAGAUGAGCAAAAGAAAUAACAGAACUUUGUCAGACCCAGGCAGACACUACAGGGCAGAUAUGGACAAACUCACCACAGAUCUAGAACAAGUGAAUUCGACUACACAACAGAUGACUGUGAUAAAUGCAGAGUCACCAGGUACACCAGAGACAACAGAGGGUGACAGCUUAAAGGUGAAGAAGAAGAAAAAGAACAUUGCACAAAAACUGAAAGCAAAGUUUAGGGAGAAAAGCAGUCAUGACAAAAGCAGAGGCACCAGUAGCUUUUACUGUGAUGAAGACAUAACACAAUCUGAUAUUUCAAUAGAGGAAGCAGAGUCACCAACUCCUAAAGAGGAAAACUCCACAAAAAUGAAGCUCAUGUUAAACAGGACAUGUACACUACGAGACUUCAAACUCAACUUGGAGCCCAUCAGCUUGAUGGAUGAACUCUUUACAGGAGAUGAAUGGACGAAGUUCCUUCCUGUUAAAGAAAACCAGAUCCAAGAAGAAACCACUGACCAAUCACAGACAGAGAGCUCCUGUCAGUCAAAUGAAACCCAGUCUGACAAUUCAGUCAUAAUACAGAACCAUCAACCAUCAGAAGACAAAGAUCAAAGUCAGUCAGAGGCGGAUCAGACUAGUGUUAGUGAUAGAGCUCUGGAUGAGGUCAGAGAGGUGCAGCCAAGACCAACUCCAAACAAACCCAUUUACGCUGUUCAUAAAUCACUGAUCUCUAACGGUGCAGUGAAACAAAAGAAAUGUGAAUUACCACAAUAUGAACAUUCUACUGACGAUGACGUUUAUGACUUUGUGGAGGUAUAUAUGCUUCCUAAAAACAACGCAGUGGUAAAAUAUCUGCCUCUAGAUCUGCCAGACAUUGAGUCAAUAGGAGUAUUAGACAGUUCUGCACUGAAGAGUCGAAUCAACCUGAACAAAAAUAGAAAGCAUCGACCACCAAAAAAGAAGAAAAAGGAGACAUCAGACAUGAGACGUACUUCCACAUUCUACACACCUGUCGUGGACAAUUCUACUAAUAUGGACGUUCCUCGUCUUCGAAGUUAUUCUACAUCCUCAUCCUACCCUCCACGAAAGACUGUCACCACUUCACCUUCUUCCUCCUAUAAAAACUCUGUGUUUUAUCCCGUCCUAAAACCAACACUGUCCUGUGACACUGAUGUUUCUCCAGCAGCUGAUGAUGAGAAGCAGAAAGCCAAAGAGAAAUCUGAGAAACCAAAGCUGUGGAAGGUGAAGAAUUAAAUUAAUGAAGAAGACAGCUGCUUUACCUCAAACCUGGAAAUGAAGCCCAUCACUUUUGAUCUGUACAUUUAAAUAUAGACAUAGAACUGUCACCUGCAUAUAAGACUAAGACACAGUUUAUAAGAUAACUAAAUAAACUGAAGCAAGUGCUCUGAUCA
ensembl:lncRNA